rnacentral:rRNA from 1 species
UACGAAGGGGGCUAGCGUUGCUCGGAAUCACUGGGCGUAAAGCGCACGUAGGCGGAUUGUUAAGUCAGGGGUGAAAUCCUGGAGCUCAACUCCAGAACUGCCUUUGAUACUGACGGUCUUGAGUUCGGGAGAGGUGAGUGGAACUGCGAGUGUAGAGGUGAAAUUCGUAGAUAUCAGGAGGAACACCAAUAGCGAAGGCAGCUCGCUGGGACGGUACUGACACUAAGGCGCGAAAGCGUGGGGAGCGAACAGG